CCUACGGGGGGCUGCAGUGGGGAAUAUUGCACAAUGGGCGCAAGCCUGAUGCAGCCAUGCCGCGUGUGUGAAGAAGGCCUUCGGGUUGUAAAGCACUUUCAGCGGGGAGGAAGGCGGUGAGGUUAAUAACCUCAUCGAUUGACGUUACCCGCAGAAGAAGCACCGGCUAACUCCGUGCCAGCAGCCGCGGUAAUACGGAGGGUGCAAGCGUUAAUCGGAAUUACUGGGCGGAAAGCGCACGCAGGCGGUCUGUCAAGUCGGAUGUGAAAUCCCCGGGCUCAACCUGGGAACUGCAUUCGAAGCUGGCAGGCUAGAGUCUUGUAGAGGGGGGUAGAAUUCCAGGUGUAGCGGUGAAAUUCGUAGAGAUCUGGAGGAAUACAGGUGGCGAAGGCGGCCCCCUGGACAAAGACUGACGCUCAGGUGCGAAAGCGUGGGGAGCAAACAGGAUUAGAUACCCGGGUAGUC
rnacentral:rRNA from 1 species